rnacentral:rRNA from 1 species
CCUACGGGAGACAGCAGUGGGGGAUAUUGCACAAUGGGGGAAACCCUGAUGCAGCGACGCCGCGUGGGUGAAGAAGCGCCUCGGCGCGUAAAGCCCUGUCAGCAGGGAAGAAAAUGACGGUACCUGAAGAAGAAGCCCCGGCUAACUACGUGCCAGCAGCCGCGGUAAUACGUAGGGGGCAAGCGUUAUCCGGAUUUACUGGGUGUAAAGGGGGCGCAGACGGCGAUGCAAGCCAGGAGUGAAAGCCCGGGGCCCAACCCCGGGACUGCUCUUGAAACUGCGUGGGUAGAGUGCAGGAGGGGCAGGCGGAAUGCCUGGUGUAGCGGUGAAAUGCGUAGAUAUCAGGAGGAACACCGGUGGCGAAGGCGGCCUGCUGGACUGCAACUGACGUUGAGGCCCGAAAGCGUGGGGAGCAAACAGGAUUAGAUACCCUGGUAGUC